AUCCAUGUCAGUAUGAAAAUUCCUUUAUUUGCCUACUAUGUACAGACAUCAGGAGACCAAGGUGAUGAGAUGCUUUAAGUUGAGUGGAAUAUUUCCUGUACAAUCUGUAAAAGUCUACCCCUUUGGGACAAGAACCUCUACACUUAUGGAGCCAAGAUGCAUGAGGAGAGGAAGCAUAAAUCCCCAACUGGAUCACUGGAAUGCAGGUGAAGAUACAGGGAGAAGAUGGCAGUUCGCAGCCCAGAAGAGGACCUUCAUCAGAACCUGACCGUGCUGGUAACCUGAGCUCCGACUUCCAUCCUCCAAAACUCUUGUCCUGAGAGUGGAAGAACAUUCCAUUGACUGGGUUUAUGAUGCUCUGCCUCACUCCCUCUGCCCUGAAGUGAAGUUGAAUUAUAAAAUAAGGCCAGCCUUAUCUUGGGCAGCCAUGCAACAAUGGUAUCUGGAGGAAAUGGACAGAACCAACCUCACCUAUGUUUGACUCCCAGUCCAGCUCGUGUUCCUCACCGUGACACUAUCCUGACAACCAACAAUUCUUGAGUAAAGAGAGAUAUGGAUUCACCAGCGUGAUGCUGUAAAAUGAGAAUACUAUAUAUUUCAACCCUGAUCUGUUUGAGGAAGAACAGGCCUCAGAAGCAAACUGGACAUGUGGAGUGAGCAGAUGGAGACUUCAGCCUGCACCUAAUUCCUGUUGCUCAACUACCCUGAAGUCAAUGGAAUCCCAGCUGUCAAAGAAUUGCAGCGCUAUUUAGGGAAAAAUGGAAACUCAAUUUCAGAAACAAUUCAAAAGUGUGAUUGACAUGCAUCACAUCUUAUGUUUUUGUAUCUGUCUUUAGACUCCAGCUCUCAGGCCAUAUCUCAUUUAGCAUCUGCCUCAUCUUUGAGGUUGAGGUUCCAGAAAAUCACAUUGGGCCAAAAGCAAAAUAUGGGGUCAGGAAGAUGGCAUAGCACAGGGAUUUGGGAGAUGGGUAUGAAAGUCCCAAAGAUAUUCAAUAAUUUGUAGUUAUGUGAACAGAUUCUGGAAUGUUGGGUGUACUGGGCUGUAUGAGCAAGUGUUCUCUUUCAUGAAAUGACUGAACUGGGGACUUUGAGCCACCUCUAAUAAUAUGGGCUUAGAAUUAAUAUGGAGAUGGUGCCUCACAAAAUAUGUCAUUUUCAACAAUUGUAUCCUGAUUAACUCUAUCUAAAUUGGUCAAUUAUUAUUAU